rnacentral:rRNA from 1 species
UACGUAGGGUGCAAGCGUUAAUCGGAAUUACUGGGCGUAAAAGCGUGCGCAGGCGGUCCGUUAAGACAGAUGUGAAAUCCCCGGGCUUAACCUGGGAACUGCAUUUGUGACUGGCGGACUCGAGUAUGGCAGAGGGGGGUAGAAUUCCACGUGUAGCAGUGAAAUGCGUAGAGAUGUGGAGGAAUACCCGAUGGCGAAGGCAGCCC